GCUGGACCCCCGUGCUGGAGCGGUCUCGGGGCUGCGUGCACGUCCGUCCCCCGGGUCAGGCUCCCCCUGCUGCAGCUGCACUGGCCUCCCACAAUUCCCUGAGCAGGACAGACGAAUCCUGCCCUCCAGCCUUGGAGUGGCUCCUUCCUCUCACUAGUUUCUCCAAGAGUGAAAGCAUGGGUCACUCUGUUUAAUCCAGCCGUCUGUGUGUUCCUGAGCCAACAUGCACUCCAGAGUGGGGCGCAGGCUUGUGCAGCACCCCAGCUCUGUCCCAGCCCUCUGACCCAGAAGCUGGAGAUGACAGCCAUGUGCCUCCCGUGCGCUGACGUCCCCCUGCAGCGGGUGGAGCAGAAGUAGUGAGUGCCCCGUGGAGGCGCCAAAAGCGCACCGCUGCUGCCCGGGGCUGCUGUUCCCAGCAGGAAGAGGACCCCAGCCACUGCGGGUCUGGCUCCGUCUUGC